AAUAUCCAAUCCUUUAAUCUGGUAGCCAUUGAAGACCACCAGUCCACCAUACUAUACUAGCACUGGUAUCUGUGCAUAGCUCGCAUUCAAUGCUGUGGACGAGGUUGGCAUCAUCUUUAUCGUCAUCAUGCGGCCGCCUCGCCUACUCGGCUAUUUCUAGUGGCGGCAGCAAAGCUUAUAUAGGCGGCAGCUGCUCAAAAAAAAAAAACUUAUAUAGGCGGCAGUCAUCGCCGUCUUUAAUAACUGACUAAAAGAGAAGAGAACAACACAAGAGGAGAGAGGCUCAGCUCCUGGGGUUGAAGAGGGAGGGAGGAUGGAGAGCAGCAACCUUGAGGUCUUCCUGGAGGCUGCCACUCCACAAUUGCCGGCGGUCGGCUCCCAUGGACUGUUUCCAAGGACCAAACAAUGUUUGGCAAGUGGACAAGAAAGAUGUGGUGAACUACUUCAGCCUUGAGGAUUUGUGGGAGCAUUAUUCUGAGAGCAGCGCGUAUGGCCUCGGUGUUCCUGUCCGUCUGGAAAAUGGCAAGUUCAUCACCCAGCAUUAUGUUUUUGUUGACGCAAAAAUCAACACACUAUGAUCCGAGGGCAAAUAUUCGCUAAGCAUGGAAAGUAGACCAAGCGUGCCAGUCAAUUUGGUCUGAAAUUGAUAAGGAAAAAAACAAAAUCAAAUCCGAGAGCGUAUCGGCUGGGAUUCCGAAUGUCUCUCGUAUAUGUGUAUCGGCAAGCUCUGCCGAUACAGAAGGCGACAAAAAGAUAUUAAAUGCGAGCGUGUAGUAAAAGAGCGCGUCGGCGGGAUCAGCCGAUACACUAAACGACAAAACCGGCUUAGGGUAGCUGAUUUCGCGUGUAUAACAAGAUCUAAGCUGCGAAUGUACAACUUAGAUGACGUAAACUAAAAACAAAUUUAAACCGGCUCUUGAGAUAA